AAUACCGCAUACGCCCUAUGGGGGAAAGCGGGGGACCUUCGGGCCUCGCGCUAUCAGAUGAGCCUGCGUAGGAUUAGCUAGUUGGUGAGGUAAAGGCUCACCAAGGCGACGAUCCUUAGCUGGUCUGAGAGGAUGAUCAGCCACACUGGGACUGAGACACGGCCCAGACUCCUACGGGAGGCACAGUGGGGAAUAUUGCGCAAUGGGGGAAACCCUGACGCAGCCAUGCCGCGUGUGUGAAGAAGGCCUUCGGGUUGUAAAGCACUUUCACUUGGGAAGAAAAGUACACCGUUAAUAGCGGUGUGCCCUGACAUUACCUUGAGAAGAAGCACCGGCUAACUCCGUGCCAGCAGCCGCGGUAAUACCGGAGGGUGCGAGCGUUAAUCGGAAUCACUGGGCGUAAAACGCGCCGUAAGCCGGGUUGGUAAGUCAACCUGGUGAAAGCCCCGGGCUCAACCUGGGAACUGCAGUUGAUACUGGCCGACUGGAGUGCGAGAGAAGGAGGUAGAAAUUCCAUGUGUAACGGGUGAAAAUGCGUAAGAUAUAUGGAGGAAAUACCCGGUGGCGAAAGCCGGGCUNCUGGCUCGACACCUGACGCUGAAGG
rnacentral:rRNA from 1 species